AGAACGAACGCUGGCGGCAGGCCUAACACAUGCAAGUCGAACGCUCGUAGCAAUACGAGAGUGGCAGACGGGUGAGUAACACGUGGGAACCUUCCCUAUGGUUCGGAAUAGCUCAGGGAAACUUGGGGUAAUACCGGAUAAGCCCUUCGGGGGAAAGAUUUAUCGCCAUUGGAUGGGCCCGCGUCGGAUUAGCUAGUUGGUGAGGUAACGGCUCACCAAGGCAACGAUCCGUAGCUGGUCUGAGAGGAUGAUCAGCCACACUGGGACUGAGACACGGCCCAGACUCCUACGGGAGGCAGCAGUGGGGAAUAUUGGACAAUGGGCGCAAGCCUGAUCCAGCCAUGCCGCGUGAGUGACGAAGGUCUUCGGAUUGUAAAACUCUUUUGGCGGGGACGAUAAUGACGGUACCCGCAGAAUAAGCCCGGCUAACUUCGUGCCAGCAGCCGC
rnacentral:rRNA from 1 species